rnacentral:rRNA from 1 species
UACGUAGGCGGUCAGGUAAGUCACGUGUGAAAUCCCGGAGCUCAACUCCGGAACUGCAUCCGACACUGCUUGACUUGAGUAAUGGAGAGGCAGGUGGAAUUCUCGGUGUAGCAGUGAAAUGCGUAGAUAUCGAGAGGAAGACCAAUGGCGAAAGCAGCCUGCUGGACAUUUACUGACGCUGAGGUACAAGGCUAGGGUAGCGAAAG